AGUAAAUUCUAGAAAAAAAUAUAACCUAUAAUAAAUGAGAAAAACUCUGCAAUCCUUCUCACCCCCUGCCAUUUAUCAGUGAUAUGCUAUACAUAACAUAUGCUUCUCUGGAGAGAUGGAAAGAAUAAGGAAGAAUGGCUUUAUUUGUGAGCUCCCUCACCUUGCCAUCAGUUCAUGCUUGGCUUUUCUUUUCUACCGCAGAGUAAUUUAUACUAUGGACACAACAAGUUACUGCACAGGGAAAAAGUUACACUAAGUUAAAAUGAUCAGAAAAUUGCCCUCAAGUGGAGACUCACAGCAGUGUAGCUGCCAGAUGUCAGGUUCACGGCAGUUAAACUGUAGGAACUACUAUAUUUCCCAUUUGUAAUUUGUGGUUGCAACACAUGUGGAAUUCUAUUUCUGCAUGCUACACAAGAAAUCAUUUGUAGAAAGUAUAAAGUCAUGAGUGGGGAUGAUUUUCCUACUCUAUUAGAAUUAUUUUUAUAAGGACUUGAUAAUAGGAUAUUCUAUAUGAAAAGGAAAUUUUAAAAAAAUGAUGCCGGAAAUUUUGAUUAUAUAAAAUAAUUCUUUGUGUCUUCUUGAACUGUGACCCCCUGACUCCACAGUUGGAUGUUAUUUUAGUGUUGUUAGAAAUAGCUGUUUCUCUUUCACUUUCACUUGUUACACUUUUCAGUGACAUUUCAAAUAAAACUUAAAGAAAAAUUCAUCUAUAAUAAAAUGGGAGACAUUUAAAAUGUCAUUUGGGGGCUUCCCUGGGGGCUCAGUAGUUAAGAAUCACCUGCCAAUGAGGGGGGCAUAGGUUCGAGCCCUGGUCCGGGAAGAUCCCACAUGACAUGGAGCAACUAAGCCCAUGCGCCACAACUACUGAGCCUGCGCUCUAGAGCCCGUGAGCCACAACUACUGAGCCCACAUGCCACAACUACUGAAGCCCACCGCCUAGAGCCUGUGCUCUGCAACAAGAGAAGCCACCUCAAUGAGAAGACCGCACACCGCAACGAAGAGUAGCCCCCACUUGCCGCAACUAGAGAAAGCCCACGCGCAGCAAUGAUGACCCAACUGCAGUCAAAAUAAAUAAGUAAAAUAAAUAAAUUUAUAAGAUGUCAUUUGGUGACUCUCUUCUGCUAGUAAGAGUGUAAGAGGACAAUCACCAAUAAUAUAAUUUCUACAAAUCUCACUGAGAGUAAUAAAAUUUGAUGGAAUUGAGUCUUUUUAUGGAUAAAUUCUAAAAUGUAAGGAAAACAAUUUGAUCUCAUAUCUUUGUUUUAAUUAGUUAAAAAGACAAUGAUAACUAAUUUCAAAAGGUAAUAUUUACUUGGCAUAUACAUUACAUAUAUGCAAUGAAAACACAGUUUUAGACUAUAGAAGUAUAAUCAAAAGUUCUAUGUUCUGAAAGUUAGCUAAGAUUUUUAUUGUAUAUUUUUGAAAAAGCUUAUGGUUGUUAUAAUUCAAUAUCUUAGAUAGAAUAAAUGAGAGAUCCUUAACUCUGGUUAUCUUGAUUUUGUUUCUAUGGCAGUGAAAAAAUGGCUGAAAAUAAGCUAAACUUUUGGGCUUUACAAGUAGCACAAAGAAACUCCUUCCAUUAAAAUAAUCACAAGCUCUGAAUAUAUGUCUGAGGCUGGCAUUUUACUACACUCUAAUUUAUCUGUUUGUACUGUGAGGCCACCAAUUUUACAGUGGAAAUCUCUUAACCCACAGAAUAAACCAUUUUGAAUGUAAUUAUAAGAAGGUAGCUUAUUUUUUUAUUUUGGAAGAUAAAAACAUCAAACAUCAUCUGGACUAGCAAGAAUGAUUUUCUUCUCAAGUCUCAACAACGAUAGGAAAAAAGAAAGACAAUUGAUAUGUGAGGCAAUGCUAAGCUGAAAUCUGGCAAGUGUGGUUCUCUCUGCCUUUGACAUUGCCCAGCCAGUCUCAGUGGCAACCAAACCUCACAAACGCCUUGCACUGCCAUCUGCCACCCCUGACUUCUAGGUUUUUAACUAAGAUAAAACAAACGUCUUUAAGGUUUUCAACAGAGGAGUACGCUUCUUGGAAAGAUUAGCCACCUAACCAAGGAAGUAGGAUUCUCCCAUAUAUUGAUUGGUUCAUUCAUUCAUUGACCGAUACUUAUUUACUUUCUACACGUGAGAACAUUUUUUGGUACUGAGCGCAUAAUGAAUUAUGCUCUGGGAGAAAAAAGAGAUGCCCUUAAGAGGCUAAUAUGGCCCUACUCUUAUAAGUCAUAAAAACCUGAAAUGUGGACAGAACAUGCAGAGAUGCUCUGAACUAGCAACGUUGGUGCACACAACCCAGAAACUUUGACAGACAUGUCCUGAUUAUAGCACUGGCAAGUUUGGAUUGAAAGAAAACCAAACUACUCUCAUGGUUCACAAAAUAGCAGACUUCUUGGGAGUCAGCGAAAUCUUACUAACAUUUCCUGAUUAAGAAGAAAAGGAGCUAAAUGGGAGGGCAGAAUGUAACGAUACUGGGGAAAAUAGAUUCUUGUUACUAAUCUAUUAGCAAGCUUCCUUGAUGCUUGAAUGUGAAGUGACAAGGGAAUUUGGGGUUAUUAAUAAAAAAAUCAUGUACUUAUUUAAUAUA